rnacentral:ncRNA from 1 species
GAUAACAGGCUGAUCUUCCUCAAGAGCUCACAUCGACGAGAACAUUUGGCACCUUGAUGUCGACUCUUUGCUACCUGAGGCUGUAGUAUGUUCCAAGGGUUGGGCUGUUCGCCCAUUAAAGCGGUGACAGCAAUGGGGCCACACGUGGCAAUAUUUG